AGAGCGCUCCUAGCUGUGAGCUGCUCCUCCCGCUUCGCUCCGCGCUCUCCUGCCGCUGCGCUCCGGGUCUCCCGCGCUCCUCUCCCCGGCUCGGCCGAGCGCGCUGCCCCGACGCCGCCACCCAGAACCGGGCCGCGCCGGGCGCCGAGAUGAAGGUGCUGGGACACCGGCUGGAGCUGCUCACAGGCCUCCUGCUCCACGACGUGACCAUGGCCGGGCUGCAGGAGCUGCGAUUCCCUGAGGAGAAGCCGCUGCUCCGGGGCCAGGAUGCCACCGAGCUGGAGAGCUCCGAUGCCUUCCUCUUGGCUGCAGACACAGACUGGAAGGCCUAACAGGUACCAGGCUGCGUCACCUCAUUCCCCAGAGGAGCCAAGAGCGGAGGCUGCCCAGAGUGUCCAGCACGGUCUCUCCCCUUCAGGAACAUGACAUCGAGACACCCUACGGCCUUCUGCAUGUAGUGAUCCGGGGCUCCCCCAAGGGGAACCGCCCAGCCAUCC
rnacentral:sRNA from 1 species